rnacentral:sRNA from 1 species
GAAAAAGAGGAACAGGUGGCUGAAUUUCAGAAGCAAAAAGAGGUGCUACUGUCCUUAUUUGAUGAAAAACGUCAUGAACAUCUCCUUAGUAAAGGUGAAAGACGGCUGUCAUACAGAGCACUUCAGGGAGCAUUGAUGAUAUAUUUUUACAGGGAAGAGCCUAGGUUCCAGGUGCCUUUUCAGUUGCUGACUUCUCUUAUGGACAUAGAUUCACUGAUGACCAAAUGGAGAUAUAACCAUGUGUGCAUGGUGCACAGAAUGCUGGGCAGCAAAGCUGGCACCGGUGGUUCCUCAGGCUAUCACUACCUGCGAUCAACCGUGAGAUAAAUGGACAAAUGGAUACAUCAGGAAACUGAAAAACUUCUGUGGUCCCUUGAAA